UCCCUUGUAGCUCAGUUGGUAAAGAAUCUGCCUGCAGUGCAAGAGACCCCGGUUCAAUUCCGGGGUAGGGAA
rnacentral:tRNA from 1 species